AAAUCAAAUUUAGGGACUUUACUGACGGGACUCUGGGCUGGCUGCUCUGUUCACUCGUCAGCGCAAGUGGCGUGACCAUGUAAUUGGGGCACGGGGCCGGCGCGGCGCGCUGCGGGCUUGCAGAAUUUUGUUUGUUUGUUUGGCCGCGCGCUGGCGCAGCCACGGGCCGCAGUUACUGGGGCGCGCUGUCGUAACAAGCCGCGCGGUGUGGCCUGCACAUCGGGGUAGAGGGGGGUAGCCUUCCCAGAUGUUCUAGUUAGUUGUUUAGUAAAUUUGACUUCAAUAACGAGCUUUUGUUAUGGUAGGCGCGGCAGGGCGCGCGAAUUUAAGCGCAAGUGAGUGGUGACUCGGGGCUCACUCAGGCGGAGGCUAUGCGUCUCACCUGUGGUCACGAGUUGUUAGUUCGUUCGUGAUGUAGGAAUUCAGGCUCACUCAGGCGGAGGCUAUGCGUCUCACCUGUGGUCACGAGUUGUUAGUUCGUUCGUGAUGUAGGAAUUCAGGCUCACUCAGGCGGAGGCUAUGCGUCUCACCUGUGGUCACGAGUUGUUAGUUCGUUCGUGAUGUAGGAAUUCAAGCUUUCGGGCGGAAGCUAUGGCCGACGCCAGAGGCCACGAGUCGUUUAAUUUAAGUUAGGUCAUAAUGUAGUCAUCUUCAAGCUUUCGGGCGGAGGCAAUGGCCCUUGUCACUAGUCGUUUAGUUAUAAUUUUUUAAAAUGUAAUGUUCGUUCGGAUUUUAAGGGCAGGAGAGGCCCCUACGUUAGUUUUAAGUAAUCGAUCAAGAAAGGCUUUUCGGAAAAUGUGAGUAUGGACUUAUCUUUGUUUUAAUUUUAAGUAUUAAUUAUGAUUUGAGGUAUUCGGAAGGACUAGGGAAGUGUUUAGUGAAGUUCUCUCAUUCUCUCUCUUGUAAGGUCGUUCAAUCGUUAAGGAAGUAAAGAGAUUAUUGUUUUAAAUUGUAAUCCCGCUAUUUAAAUGUUCUUUAAAAUGAUGUUGAGUAUUUGACUUUAAGAAUAAAAUAAUUUUAAUUAAGUAUUAUGUUAUUUUGCAAAAUCUCCUUAGUUCAGCUCUCACCAGACAUCCUGUACGGGAUGACGAACCUAUGAUCCUAGGUACAGUAAAGUAUUUUAUGAAGUUAAGACUAGUUGAUGCCAAGCGAGUUGUUUCUAUGUAAAGAGCUACGAUUCUCUCCCCCCUCUGAAAGUGAGACGUGACAGAAAUGGUGGAGGCGCCGGGUAGGUUCUAUUUCUGGAGAGAGAGAGAGGUAGAUUUUUAUGUUUAUUAUUAAGUUAGUUUCAGCUUCUGAUAGCAGGUUAUUAAGAGUUUACUUGAGGAGAGGAUUACGGAAUUUAAUCUAAGUGGAGGAAGUCUUUGAGAUUUUUUUUUGACGUAACAGAUGUUUAUUUGAGUAUACUUGUAAGGAUAAAGUUUAUAGUGAUAAGUUGUUUUAAGUCGUUGAAUUUAUUGUAGAUUUAUAUCGGGGAUUAUUACGUGAGGAGAAUACGUUAUAAGUUAAAUGCUUAUUAGAGAUAAUGCAAGUGGUUUAAUUUAAUUGAAGUUCAUUUUAAGAUUGUAGGUUAAGAGAAUUAUAAUUUAAAAUAAAGUUUUUUGUCGUAAAUAGGAAUUAUUUUCAAGAGAAGUUUGUUUUGUUUUCGUGCGCGUAGGAGACGAGACGUACGAAUUAAAUCAGUCGAGGGAAGGAUAAACGUUAGAAAGGAAUUAAAGAGAAAACGAGAGUUUAUGUAAAAGAGAGUUAUAGAAUUUAUAGUGAUGUUUUGUUUUAAUUAGAAAAAUGUUGAGAGUUGUUUCAGAACGACACGUCAGUGGACGUGGCAGAAUGAACACGUGACGGGGAGGUGCUGAGACCUAGCGGAGAACGGAGGAACCGCAAGCGAGGGUUGGCGCACCUGAUGGAAUUCGGUGACGUCACGGGCUCAUACGGAGACGUGGACAGGCCGUGACCUUGUUUUGAUCAGCUGUACGGUAACUUAGCGAUAAGAAAAUAGACUAUUGGUUAAAUAAAUUUAAAUUUAAGUGUGUUUUAGAAGAAGAGGAACUUUCAGUAUAUUCCUUAAGAUGAGCUGAGCAGCAGUCCAGUUUACAAGAUGACAAGAGUUCGAGAGACAAGAUACAAGAUCACUGAAACAAGAGCCAAGACUGAAGAUUCAAGAGAAGAGAAAGCUGGCAGCCAUGGACUUACAAGUGGAGAUUAAUAAGGUCAUGUAAAGUUUUAUUUUUUUAUGGAAGACAGUAACUGGAGUUUUUUUUGUUAUAAACAUUAUUUACAGAACUUUUUAGGUUAUAGUAAUGUAAUGGAACUAGUGAGUUGUGGUAGCUGUCAAAAAGAACUAAUACCUUAAGUUUAAUUUUUAAAGUUAAUUUUCUUAAUUUACAGAGGGAUUAGUAGUUUUUUUUUUAAAACCUUAUUUAGGUUGGAAUUUAAAUACAAUAGCUUAUUAUAAAUGUGUACGAACAGUUCAAGUUCACAGUACUGAUAGGUAGGUCAGAUGAUCUUAUUGAUUUUGAUGAUUUGUUGUUUUGAGUUGAUUUUUAGGUGUUGUGAAUUAGACAAUGAAAUAGUUUUGAAAACUUAAAUUAUUUCAAGCUAAGAAAUAGUAAAUUUAAUUGUAACUCAAAGGACACCAGAAUUUAAUUUUUUUUUGAAUUAGUAAUGUUUGAAAAUUUUAUACUUUACAAGAAAGGUUAUAAACAAACAGAUCGGAUGGAACAAGGAUGCAGUAAAUCACAAUUUCAUUUAGAAUUAUUGAUUUGCUUUUGAGGUUAUGAAGGAAAAGUAGCUAUAAUUUAAAAAUUUGAAUAAAAAUGGUUUUUUUUUAAUUUGUUUGAAAUAGAAAAUUUAAAAGUUAAUUAGUCAUGAUCUAGGUGGGUGAUGGGGUGGGAAUUGGCCACUCUUUUUCCCUAUAACCUCCCUAACAUGGCCUUCUAUUACAUCUAACAGAAAAAAAAAAGAAGAAAAAGAAGACUUAUUAUUAGUUAGAAUGUUUUUUUAUGAAGAUACCUGAUGAACUUUUUUUUUAUUGUUGGGAAGAAUAGUAGCAAGAUUAAUCAGAUGUUUUACUCAGAAGAAGAAGAAGAAGAAGAUAAAGCAGUUUUAUGACUCGACAAGCCAGAGAUUGGUGUUUCCCCUCUGCGCUCCUAUUGACUACGUUGUUUACUCUCAUGGGAUAGCUGGUUCGGCACCAUGGAGAGAGAUUGGUGGGCAUUGUGGUUGCCCCCAGAAGAAAAGAAGAGUAGAAGAGGUUAUGGGUGGGUCAUGUGAACUGACCUUCAACCCAGUUACUUCGUGGGGACUAUUUGCUGUAUAGAGAAGAUCAAGACUCAAGAGUUAGGGAAAAUCAUUGGAGGUCAUGUUUCCCUUCCUUAAGUUUUUCCUAUCAAAUUAUUUGCCUGAUUAGAUUAUGCUAAGGGUGGGAUACUUUAUGUUAGCAGUUGAAUUAAUUAAUUUUAUUUUUUUGUGUGUUUGCAUCCUUGCCCAUCGAUUGCAGUUUAGUAGUUAGUUUUGUAUUUGUCAGGCGUGAUGGUAAUGCCUGUUGAUGAUGUUUCAGAAUUGUAAUCUGUUCGUGAUGAGGAUGGCACAACUCCGAAGCAGAUGUGGGGAGAAGUUGUGAGCUGCCCUGGAAGCCAGUCCAGUAGCUGUUGGAGUUGAGUGGUGUUUGCUGAUGGCCAGCCCAGGGAGCUACUCUUCUCGACAACACUGACUUCGAGGAGUUGCACCAACCUUCACGAGAUAAGAGUUUAAUUAAUUGAAACACUGUAAGGACACUUAAUUUUUUUUGAAGAACGAAAGAAGUAUGGUAAUAAACGGAAACCGAAAAAAAAAAAAAAA